AUUACCUCAACAAGAAUGUUGUUGAACUUUCUGGUCACAUAAAAUUUGGAACUUUCUUCAUUUGUGACUCACAUUCUAUAAGAAUAGUCCAUCACUGUAAAGUCCAUAUUAAGGUGUAAAGGUUUCAUACUGUGAUGACGGCCCUCUGUGGGCACUCUUGCCAUUCAUCAGUGUUCAGAUUUUUUGCUGUACGAUAUACAUAUUUAUGGUGUUUCUGUAACUCCCAGAACUUUGUUUGAAGGUUUUAGAGAGGAGUGUUAGUAAGAUGUGAAUUAUUGCAUAUACCCAUCUAUAUAUAUUCUGGUAGAUAUGUUAUUUUUCAUGACCAGUUUGUGGUUUGUGUUAGUUACUACUUGAUAUUCAAUAGUUGGUGAAGUAUUAGCCGUUUCUUUGUGAAACGGAGAAUCAUGUUGAGUAUUGACAAUCCAACAAAACUGUUGAUAAGAAGUUUGAAAGUCCAUGCUUUCUUCAACUUGUACUAGUUUAUCUUUCUUAGUUGUCUGUUUAAAUAUAGUAUUUUUCUUUUUUAACAUUUUUCACAUGAAGCACUUCCCAGGAUACUGAAAUUUUGGACAGUAGGAAGAAAUUCACCAUAUUGUAAAUCAUGUUGAAGAAUAGCUGAAUGAUUAUAUGGAUUAUUUUGUGCAUGCUUUUAAAUCCUCGAUUAAACAAACUGUGGAGCCCACAUCGUCAUGGUUACGCCUUGGACGUGUAAAUUUAUAGAUGUCAUAAGAGUAAUGCAUUUUAGGAACAUUGUCUUUAAACUUAAAGUAAUUACUGAAAUGAAAUAUUGGCUUAUAAACAAUUCUAAGUUGAAUUUGAAGAUAUAUUUUACAAUUCAAAACAUUUUUAACUUUUUCUUUUAUUCUAAAGCAUGUUUCCCUGUAUACUGCAAAACACAAUAAGCUAUGUGUAUAGUUAUAAAACAUUUGUUGAUUUUAGAGUUGUUCAAAACUUUAAAUAAAUUUGUUACUUGUAUUAUCAAUCAAAUAAAGAGGAAUACUAUUUCUUUUUAAUAAUUUAUUUAUAUUUACAACCUUUUCAUGAAACCCAUAAAAAGAACUAACAAUUAUCUAAGCCUGAAGUAUAAAAUGUGAAUUAAAUCACUUUUAAACUCAGUAAAUAACUAUCAAAAUAAAAGUAUAAACCAGUAAAUGUUGAUUUAUGGUAACACUUACUUUCAAACAGUAUCCCUAAAUUAUUUUGGUUCCCAAAAAUGGUAAGAAGGAUGCAAUUUGUUCUUCAACAAUAUAUUUAAUAUUAACAUGUUGACCAACUCUAAAAUCAACAAAUGUUCUGCAACUAAACAGACAAUUUAUUGUAUUUUGCAGCAUACAGAAAAACAUGCUUUAGAAUUAAAGGAAAAUAUUAAAUAUGUUCUGAACUGUAAGAUUUAUCCUCAAAUUCAACUUAGAAUUGUUUAUAAGCCAAUAUUUCAUUUAAGUAAUUACUUUAAAUUUAAAGACAACAUUCUUAUGUCAUCUAUAAAUUUACACGUCUAAGGUGUAACCAUGGCUAUUUUGACUCUACAAUUCACUGUUUAAGUUCAAGGUUUAAAAAACAUGCUCAAAAUAAUCCACAUAAUCAGUCAAAUAUUUUUCAACAUGGUUUACAAGACUGUCACUUUCUUCCUACUAUCCAAGAUAUCAGUAUGCUGGGAAAUACUCCAAAUUAAAAAACUAACGAAACUAUGUGGAUAUACAAGUGACAUCCUGAAUAAAAUGGUGUACUAUGAAGGUUAACCACACAAAUAAUGUCGUUAUAAAGUGCUUUAAAUUAAAAUAUAAUUAAAAACUAAAGAAACAUUGUGGAUAUACAGGUAACAUCCAGAAUUAAGUGAAGUACUGUAAAUGUUAACAGUACAUAUAAUGUGGUUAUUUACACUGUGCAAAAUAUUUGUGUUAUCAUCUGUCACUUCAGAAUUUCUUCCCAACUCAAAUAAGACAUAGGAAUAAAAUCCUUGUAGCUAGUUGAAUGUUUACAAAAUAAUAGCUUUGAGUCCAAGAGAAAUAUUUAUUAAUGACAGCUGUUUGGUAUUUGUUUUGUUGAAACCUGAUUAUGCAAUGAAAAUCUAAAUAAGUAGGUUUAGCUAGAGUAUGUUUUAAGUUACAUAUGUGUGCAAUGGUUAACACGUCAUCAGACAAAAAGUAAAAUAAAAUUCACAAAGUAUUACAUUAACUCAGUUAAUGGUUCUGCCAAUACAGGAGACCUUACAGUCUCCACAUGUGUAAAGAUAUACAAGCAACCAACAAAGAGAAAUUGGGAGAAGAUCUUUAGCUCGGAAAAAAUCCUGUACGUGCAAUGUGGGUUUAAAAACCAAUCUGAAAUCAACUUGGGGUAGUAAUGAUGAAUUAUGCAUUUAAUUUGACUUCUAAAAGUUAAGCCUUGUUUACCAAUGUAUGGAAUACAAGAGUAUAUAGUAAGUUAGGGUAUGGUUGGUAGUUUAGGUGGAUUUAUGAGUUUCUUAAUUAGAAAGGUAUUAGUAAUUUUUUUAGUAAAUGUUAUGGGUAGCCAUUACAUUUUUUAGUAUCCUGUAUGAGAGAAAUUUCCGAGUAUAAAUUAAGGUACGUGGAACAUAGGUUAUAAGCUCUGUUUAAUAAGCAUGUUACCAGAUUUCUUUUGUAUGUGAGUGUGAUAAAAUUGUCAAAUUGUGUAAGGAAUCCAGUAAACAUCUUUUUUUUUCUGUAUAUUUUAUUAUGGUUAAAAAAAGGUAAAUUAUUAUUAUUUUCAGCCUUUCAAGUGAAUUUAAUGGCAGGAUAUUGAGUUUAGGUCUUAUUGAUCCUUAUUGUGAAAAAAGAAUAAAAGUGUUGUUUACAAACCUUCUGUAAAGGACAGGUACGAGGUCAACAAGGCAGGUGUCGAACCAUACAUGUUUAUGAUACGAGAGAAAUAGAUUAGCUAACCUUGGAUCCAGUGGGAAGCCCUUGCUACACCAACUAUUUGUUCAAAGAGGGUGUUGUUGAAAAGGAAACAUGAAUUCUUGGUUGUAAGAUCCAAAAUGGUCUUAAUUUGAGGUUCAGCAAAAUAAUAUUCUGUGAAAGUUCAGGUAUGCAUAUAUCAAUGGUUUCAUUUAGAGGUAUAUUUGUAAAGAGGGGGGGGAGGUAAUAUUAAAGAUGGACAUAAAAUGGUUUUUGGAUAGGGGUAAUUGUCAUAAUUCAAGUACAAACUGUUUAUGUUGUUUAUUUUAUGCACUGUUAUCCUUUUUAUUAUGUAGCUCUCAUUAAGGAGUGGAAUUGCCAAUUAUGACUGACCAGUAAGUUACUCACACCCAGUGUUAUACAUCUGUAUUGUAUGACAGAUUCAGAAAAAAAGAUUGGUUAUUUUAGCUUAACUGGUAAAAAACUAACAUUCUUUAGUUUUCAUUGACAUUCUUAGAAGCUCAGUAAAAUUAAAAGAUAAAUGAAACAAAUUAAAAGAUAAAUGAAGCAAAUAAAAAACAAUUAGGAAUUAAGCCCAAGAAGAAUUAGGUGUAUUGUUUGCUACUCGGAAUUCUGCACGUACACUCAAAAGGAAGUUUAAAAACAAAAUAAAUGUAAAAGUUGUUUAGUGGACAUUUCAUAUUUUCAAAAUUGCUAUGGAACUUGCAAAAGCCAGCCAGGUGUAUUCCCUUCUUUUUUGUUUUUGCUUAACAAACCAAUUUCAAUUUUGAAGGUAGAAAGUUAAAAAAACAACUAAAAACAAAUAAUCAGUUAUGUUAUGGACUUUAUUCAGAAGAGUCUUCAUUAAUUGUUGGAUAUUUUGCACCCAACUGACAAGAAUCUGGUUGUCUGUUGGUAACCCAACAGUGUGCACUUUAUUUGAACAUCUUGUUCGAUACAUUUCUGAACUGCUAUGAAUGCAAACUUCAGCAUACUUAGAUUUAAAGUUAUUAUUCUCUGAAUUGUCCACUUUAUUAAGCUGAAUUUGACUCUUUUUGUAGUUAUAUUGUUAAAUAGUUUUCAGAAGUGGAGAAUAUCAUACAAUAUUCUAAUAGUGGAAAAAACACAGUUAAGUGGAGAGUGAGAUCUGGAAAAAUAUAGAUUAAGUCCAAACUAUCAUCAGACGUUCACUUUACUCAUAACAUCUUAUAUUUGUAGCUGUAACACAUGUUCAUGUACUAGUUAGUUUUAGCCUUAAUGUAGUUUUCAUUAUUUUAUGUUUACCUUUUAACCCUCCGAUACCCAGAUAUAUCGAAUAUAGUAUAUAGUGGUAAUAAACGAGAACAACUUCAAAGUGUUUGGAUACCAUUUUGGAUCAUUGUAGUGUUAAUUUACAGUGCUCUUAGUUAUGUAUCAAUAUUUUGUACCUUGGAUACAUUUUUUUUUUUAAUAUUUGUACACACAAAGGCAUUGUAUCUCUGUAUAAUUGUAUGGGAAUUUGACGUGUUUAAUUCUGUACCUUCUCAUGUUAUCCAGAUAGGUGUAUAAUAAAUGUAAUUAGCCAGUAAAAAAAGUUGUAUGAUUAAUAAGUAAUCUGUGUUUGUGUUUCUUAUUGUAACCAUUUGUACUCACAAUUUCUAUAAAUGUUCUUUGAUUUAGA